rnacentral:rRNA from 1 species
UACAGAGGUCUCAAGCGUUGUUCGGAUUCAUUGGGCGUAAAGGGUGCGUAGGUGGCGCCGUAAGUCAGGUGUGAAAUCUCGGGGCUUAACUCCGAAACUGCCUUUGAUACUGAAGAUCUUGAGUCCGGGAGAGGUGAGUGGAACUGCGAGUGUAGAGGUGAAAUUCGUAGAUAUUCGCAAGAACACCAGUGGCGAAGGCGGCUCACUGGCCCGGUACUGACGCUGAGGCACGAAAGCGUGGGGAGCAAACAGG